UACCAGCUCUCCGAGUGGUGUGGAUGUUUAUUGGGCCUAAAGCAUCCGUAGCUGGCUGGACAAGUCCCCUGUUAAAUCCACCGAUUUAAUCGUUGGUGUGCGGGGGAUACUGUUCGGCUAGGGGACGGGAGAGGCCGACGGUAUUUCCGGGGUAGGGGUGAAAUCCUAUAAUCCCGGGAAGACCACCAGUGGCGAAGGCUGUCGGCUAGAACGCGCCCGACGGUGAGGGAUGAAAGCUGGGGGAGCGAACCGGAUUAGAUACCCGGGUAGUCCCAGCUGUAAACGAUGCAGGCUAGGUGUUUGGGCGGCCACGUGCCGCUCUAGUGCCGCAAGGAAGCUGUUAAGCCUGCCGCCUGGGGAGUACGGCCGCAAGGCUGAAACUCAAAGGAAUUGGCGGGGGAGCACCACAAGGGGUGAAGCUUGCGGUUU
rnacentral:rRNA from 1 species